CAAACGAAGCCAUUUGAAGUGGGCAGGGGUGGGGGGAGCCAGCAAAGGAGGUUAGGGAGAGAGCGGGGUGUCUGAUGAAAGCCCCGCACACCACGGCGGGGAGCCUGGCCUUCACCCAGUGGGCAGCGGAGCCCUUGAAGGACGGUGGACAGGGACAUGUCACGGCAGAGGUGUAGCGGGAGAGACCACAUAUGGGAGGGCCUCUGUGGGCUGUGAACCGUUGGAAGUGGAAAGUUUCGUGGGAGUAUUAUUGUCAACACGACAGUGACAGGUGACACGGGGCACCCUGUGUACAUGGUUGCAGAGAGGCGGGUCCCAGAGAUCCUAGAAGCCAAUGCAGUAGCCUCCAAUUGCUCCCCAGGAGACAGCCCAUCCUAGAGGUGGAGCCAAGAACACAGGUCCAUCGGUGUGGACGCAGGAGUGUGGGAGAGCAGCUGACAUAAUGAAUCAAUCCGCCCAGGCCCAGUUGCAACUGAGAAGACAAAGCCCAAACCCAUGAGCCUUGGGCUGUCUGGCCCCAGGAGAGAGGCCUCCUGAGCAGAUGCUUAGAAGAUGAAUAUAUUACUUUCAUGAGAUGUGGACGCCUCGCUCCCCUCGAACAUACCCUGGCACUGCCAGCUAGUUGGUGCCACUGUCACCUCUGUAAAGCUCAGGAAGAAAGGAAGACGGUGUUUACUACACUCCACGUGCCCCUGGGGGCUGUGAGCUGUAAAAUAUCGCCUCCUUAAUCCUCUGACCAUCACCUCUGAGGACAGGGUCAAGCAACUCCUUUCCGAGGUGGGGAAAUGCAUGCUGAGAGAGGCCGAGUAUCUUGUCACAAGUCACCCAGCUGGGGACAGUGGCACUGGAACCUGAACCUGAAUUCUCAGGCCCUGAAGUGUGUGCUAGCUCAUGCUUUGCUCCAUGUGAGGUCUGGAGUUUGCGGGGAACAGAACACUAGAUUCUCUGUGAUGGCUGACAGGGUUGGCAGCCAGGCUAGGAGGUCCUCUGCUGGCCCUGCCGGAUCUCACACUGCAGGCCGAGGAUGUCUAGAGACAAGGAGCCGCGGAGCGAGUUCAGAACGACACCAAGGGAGUCGAGAAAUCUGA
rnacentral:lncRNA from 1 species